rnacentral:rRNA from 1 species
UACGGAGGGGGCUAGCGUUGUUCGGAAUUACUGGGCGUAAAGCGCGCGUAGGCGGACCUGCAAGUCGGGGGGGAAAGCCCGAGGCUCAACCUCAGAAUUGCCUUCGAUACUGGGCGUCUCGAGACCGGAAGAGGUGAGUGGAACUGCGAGUGUAGAGGUGAAAUUCGUAGAUAUUCGCAAGAACACCAGUGGCGAAGGCGGCUCACUGGUCCGGUUCUGACGCUGAGGCGCGAAAGCGUGGGGAGCAAACAGG